GAUAAUACAAUUUAAUUUUAUCGGAAUCAGUAAGUUUAUAAUAUUUGAUUUUAAAUUGAAGUUUAUUGGGUGAAAUUUUAAAUUUUGGUUAUAUUUUAUUUAAUAAUAAUAAGUCUGGUAAAUUCAUUAAAUAAACUAGGAUUAGAUACCCUAUUAUUAUGAAUGUAAAUUUAUUUUCCUGAUUAGUAUUAGUUAUGUUCUUGAAAAUUAAAAAUUUUGGCGGUGUUUUAUUCCAUUCAGAGGAACCUGUCCUGUAAUCGAUAAUCCACGAUAAAUUAUACUUUUUUUUAGUUUGCAUAUCGUCGUAGUUAGAAUAUUUUUUUAGAAUUUAAAUAUUCAUUAUUCUAUUUAAGAAUGAGAUCAGAUCAAGGUGUAGCGUAUAGACAAGGAAGUGAUGGGUUACAUUAUUAAUAUUUUAUGGGAUUAAUUUCUUGCAAAGUUAUAUGAAUAUGGAUUUGAUAGUAAUUUUUUUUAUUUUUUAAAAAUGAUUUAGGCUCUAAAAUAUGCACAUAUCGCCCGUCGCUUUCACCCUAAAGUGAAAUAAGUCGUAACAAAGUAGGCUUACUGGAAGGUGAGCCUAGAAAGACAGACUAGAACUUGGUAAAGAGUAUUUUAUUUACAUUAAAAGGGUAAUUGUGAAACUCAAUUUAGUUUGAAUGUGAUAAUUUAAUUUUUAUUUAAAUAUUAUUGGUUUUAAUAUAAGGAAGUUAUUUUUUAUUAUUAUUAAGAACAAAUCUUGGUUUUUAUAGUUUACUUGUACUGUGAAGGAAUAUUUUAUUAUUGGUCAAAGAAAGAUUAAUUUUUU
rnacentral:rRNA from 1 species